UUCGCCUGGGUUUUUCAGACAACUGCUUUGGGUCAUAUCAAUUGGCGGGUUACGUGCCUGGAGCGCAAGGUGUUUAUUAUUAGCAGCGUUUCAGCAUUUCUGACGUACUUCGGACAGCCCAUUCAGUGCGCGCUCCCAUUUCUGCGGCUAUCAAAACAUGGAAGCCAACAACGAUCGCAAACAGACGGUUAUGUUGGAUCAGCUAAAUAUAAUGCACUUUAAAAAUAAACAUUUUGUUUGUCAUUUGCCCAUUUGUGUUUGGCCUUUGGCAUUUUUGGCUGAGUGCCAGGCGUACUGAUAACAGCGAUGAUUGUGGCACACAACUUUAGACAAUUAUUUCAAGCGUAAAUUAACGUCUGACGUAUCUGAUAGAUACAUUUGGCCAGCCAGCUCAGAGGUUUUCCAUUCCCACAGCGUCAGCUGGCAAAUACGUUACACGUUUUUUGGCCAUGGUAAUAGAAGUCGCAUUCAGAGGCCGAUUCGUGGCUAACCACUGCACAAAACUUGAGUAACCUACGAAGUCGUACCGAAAUCAACCUGCCAGAUAGCUAAACCCAAGAGUUUGGCUCGAACUCAUUUCCCAUGACGAUCCGAUCCGUUGGCCAGGAAGGAAGCUACGUAACGUUCAUUUAGCAGGCUGCCCCUGGUUCCUUGUUUUACCUAUGUACUUCCCUUUGGCACGAGGGUUGUUUUCCUUUGCACCUGUGACGGCAUGUGCUGCUCCACCUUUUCAAAGGAAAACGAGGCAGGUUACCGCCAAAAUGCCGUCAGACCAGAGUCAACCUGUUGGAACAGCCGGCCAACUAACUAUGUAUGUCCCCGAUUGCGUGUUUAUGUGGCCCAAAUUAAGUCGAGUCACCCAAGUGAUAUAAGGUCGAAGGUGCACUUGACAUGCUUACUCAUUAGUCCCCUGCUGGUUAUCUUUCUGGAAAUCUUUAAAACUGCGCAAGCUUAGAAAACAUUUGCGAAGUUGCUGCAACUUAGUUAACCCAGUUUAUCUAUGUAAGCAUCCCAAGGUACCCCAAUAAACACCACUUAUUUAUCAGACAAAUAAAUGAUUGAUCGGUUUAUAGGUGAUUUAUCAGUGUUCUAUUUGAUGUUAAUAGAUGUUAGUUUGAUAAUAGAAAAACAUAUAUACAUUAAGGAUAUGUUUAAUCAAGAGAAUUCGACAUUUAAUAUUGCCAAAUGACAGAAAAAACAGAUAAGGUAAAAUAUUAACCCAAAAUGUGUAUUCUCCUGAAACCUUAAAAAAGGUCCAGUCACAAUGCACUUUCUUAAGCAAACCUAACAAACAAUGAAAUCAAAAGCCAGUGCAAUUAACAAUUUACCAGGUGUCACAGAUAUAGGGAUCAGCAAACAAAGAAAGCACACCGUUUGCUGAUUGCGACCAUGAGAAAAGAAAUAGAGCGUUCUAUCAAGGUGUAGGAACGUGCUGAAGUAGGCAAACAAAAUAAAGUCCCCGGCGAAAUUCAACAGAGAUUACUAAUUCAAACUCUAGCUCUAGUAAUUUUUAUACCGAAAGCGGAUAGUGAGUUUUAUGAUAGUAGGGUGAAUCGGAAAGAAGUCAGCCAAGCAUUAAGCUAAACAAAUAGUGUAAUAGAAACGGAAACAAAAUUCACAACUGCUGACGGGGCUCCUUGAACUGGCGUUGAACUUUUUAUGGAGCAACUUUUCGCGACGGUAAUUUUAUUUAUUUUUAAUAUGCACAUAUCAAGCAAAACAAACAAUCGAAGGAACGGCGACGAAAGUGAAACUGCCGCAACGUACGACCAAAUCGCACAAGAUCUUUUUCAAAAUCGCGUGUUGUCGAAUCGAAAAUCAAACUAAAUUACGAAUAACCGUCGGAAAUUGGAGGAAUUGUGGGGCGGCCGGAGGAGCGGAAAGGUCAGCCGACGUGGACGCCAUUAAUUGCUUUAGAUUGAAUUAAGUCCGCGGCAGAGGAAUCAGCACAGCAGCUCGCUUGGAGCUCUCUAUUCCGCUCGGCUUCAGUCGUGACCUACGCCCAUGACGUCAUUGGAUCGAAUCACUUUAUUUUUAGCCGGCUAUUUCCGCCCUUAUCACCCAUGAGCGGUCGGUCCCCCAGAUCCCGAUAAUUCCGAUCGAGUUCGAAGCGACAGUGUAACGGAGCGGCCGUAAAUCGUAAGUAGACCGCAGACUUCUGAAUCGGAUAGCGGAUAGCGGAACCGUGGCCACCUAUUGCCAAAGCCCCAGUGUGACUACUGAAAGUCCGGGUGGAAUGACAAAGGAACCGUCGGCAUGUGGUCACCUGAACAGAACAGAGAGUUUCGGAGAGUUCUGGCCCCUUAUCUGGGGGCCCAGCGCAAGAGAGGAGUGCGGAGCGAUAAGCUCCGAGAACGCAGGUAACUUGGAGCGGCGACCAGGUAAACUGAUUUUGCCGCGCACAGGAGCGGUUUGCAAGUGGCAAGGGUUUCGAAGAAGGUUAAAUAUCCCGCAAAUAUAAUUUCCUAUACUUUCUAGUCCCUUUCUGAUAAUAAUUUAACUAUAAAAAGAAAUAUUAUUACUUA